rnacentral:piRNA from 1 species
UGGGCCAUGAACGAAAGUGACAAUCUCAGU